UACGUAGGUCACGAGCGUUAUCCGGAAUUAUUGGGCGUAAAGAGUGAGCAGGCGGUGAAGUAAGUCUGGAGUGAAAGCGUGGGGCUUAACCCCAUAUAGCUUUGGAAACUACUUCGCUAGAGUACGUCAGAGGUUAACAGAACUCCGUGUGUAGCGGUGAAAUGCGUAGAUAUACGGAAGAAUACCAGUGGCAAAGGCGGUUAACCAGGACGAUACUGACGCUCAGUCACGAAAGCGUGGGGAGCAAAUAGG
rnacentral:rRNA from 1 species